UACGUAGGGGGCAAGCGUUGUCCGGAAUCAUUGGGCGUAAAGAGCGUGUAGGCGGCCCGAUAAGUCCGCUGUGAAAGUCCAGGGCUCAACCCUGGAAUGCCGGUGGAUACUGUCGGGCUCGAAUCCGGAAGAGGUGAGUGGAAUUCCUGGUGUAGCGGUGAAAUGCGCAGAUAUCAGGAGGAACACCAAUGGCGAAGGCAGGUCUCUGGGCUGACACUGACGCUCAUGCACGAAAGCGUGGGGAGCAAACAGG
rnacentral:rRNA from 1 species